UACGAAGGGGGCUAGCGUUGUUCGGAAUUACUGGGCGUAAAGCGCACGUAGGCGGAUAGGUAAGUCAGGGGUGAAAUCCCAGAGCCCAACUCUGGAACUGCCUUUGAUACUGCCGAUCUCGAGGAUGACAGAGGCAAGUGGAAUUCCGAGUGUAGAGGUGAAAUUCGUAGAUAUUCGGAGGAACACCAGUGGCGAAGGCGACUUGCUGGGUCAUUUCUGACGCUGAGGUGCGAAAGCGUGGGGAGCAAACAGG
rnacentral:rRNA from 1 species